UGUAGGAGUGAGCCUGCUCGCGAUAUCGGUGUGUCAGCCACACAUAAGUCGACUGAUUCACCGCUAUCGCGAGCAGGCUCACUCCUACA
rnacentral:antisense_RNA from 1 species